ensembl:lncRNA
UAUAUUUAGGAGUCCACCCAGGCAUACAUCAGAUCAGCCCUGUCAACAUCAUGAGAAAGACAACUUGGGUACAUCUGACUGAACUUACUGAAAUUGACUUUUUACAGUGACUUUUAAAAGGUGAAAAGAGGACAGGAGAUACAAAAGGGGUAAACGAGAUCGUCUGAGAAGCAGAGAAUGUCAUUUCUAUGCUCUUUUCUCCUUUUUGUGGCAGUGCAGUGAUUGAGGAUUUUAAUUUCUUCUCAACUUCAUGAAAAAAAAACAGAAGUGGGACUGAAGAAGAGAGGAAAAUUAAAGAAAAAAGAAGACUCUACACGUUUGAAGGCACUUGACAAAGGCCUGAUCCAGGAGACUAGCCAUGGAGGAGGAUUACAAGAAACCACCACCGUCUUAUGAAGAAGUUAUUACCCAGCAGCACACGAGCAACACUAGUCAGAGCCGCUCUGCUGAUAACAGGCAGGGCUGCUGCUGCAGGUGCUGCAUUAGCACCAAGAACUGUCUGAUGAGUCCAGAGUGCGGUCGAGCUCUUAGCAUCGCCAAUGUGAUUGCCAUGUGUGGCAUGUGCAUUCGAAUGUGUGUCUAACACAGUCUCCUGUGGACCAUCUAUUCCAGUACUCUCAUCCAAUGGUGGCCUUCUCAAAUAAAAAUGGAAACAAAGACAUUAGCUCUGUUCCAAAACCUAGUGAUCUGCAACAUUAAUAUGCUCACCCCCAAUACGAAUCCCAAUGCUGUUCCAAAUAGAAUGCAGGACUGCAUGUAUCAUUCAGGUAAUCCUUGAUCGAACUGACUAAAAUUUCCAUUUCAAAUAGGAAAUGUCAAUUGCAAAGUAUAGCUUAUAAAUACAAAGUAUAUUAAUUCAGUACUGACACAUAUCAUUGAAAAACACGGCCACGUCAUGUGACCUGUGAGCUUAGCAACAUGCUAACAUUAUACUUUAUAAGAAUCAACUGUGUUAGUAGUCUCUGAUGUGCAUCAUGGGCCUCUUUAAUCAAAUAGUAGCACAAUAAACUUUUAAAUCAUUUGUAACAUGUGUAACAGACCUUUUUUGUCUGCAAAAUUGUGUUAAUGUAACGGCACCUUUACAAUAUGUCUUUCCUUUUUGGAAGACAAUAGCAGACAAUAGAGUUAAACAGUUGUAUUAAUAUUUUCUCUUUAAUCCAAGUCACCUAUGUUUAUACAGAGCUUUAUACAAUACUAAAUAGGAAAGAAACAGAAUCAGUGACACAAACUUCAUCAAAUAUGAGGCAAUCCGAAUUCUGCUGUAAAGCAGCUCUAACAAGACAUUUCCAAAAUAGUUGCAGUCAUUUGGAAAUGCCAAUUGAGCUCCUAUUUUUUUUCUUUCAUAAAUUGGAGCCAGUGAUGUGAUUGGAUGUGGCAUCCACCUUAAUUAUGUAUCAGGGUAUCAAAACUUUGGGUUACACUUUAUUUCGAUAGUCCACUAUAAGAUAGUCCACUAUAACUAUAAGUAACUUUGUAACUACAUGUCAACUACAUGUCAACUAAUUCUCAUUAAUUUGCAACUACAUGUCUACUAACUCUCAGAGUAGACUGUUAGGGUAG